CCUACGGGUGGCAGCAGUGGGGAAUAUUGGACAAUGGGGGCAACCCUGAUCCAGCCAUGCCGCGUGUGUGAAGAAGGCCCUCGGGUUGUAAAGCACUUUCAGUGAGGAAGAACGCCUGGUGGUUAAUACCCAUCAGGAAAGACAUCACUCACAGAAGAAGCACCGGCUAACUCCGUGCCAGCAGCCGCGGUAAUACGGAGGGUGCGAGCGUUAAUCGGAAUUACUGGGCGUAAAGCGCGCGUAGGUGGCUUGAUAAGCCGGUUGUGAAAGCCCCGGGCUCAACCUGGGAACGGCAUCCAGAACUGUCAAGCUAGAGUGCAGGAGAGGAAGGUAGAAUUCCCGGUGUAGCGGUGAAAUGCGUAGAGAUCGGGAGGAAUACCAGUGGCGAAGGCGGCCUUCUGGACUGACACUGACACUGAGGUGCGAAAGCGUGGGUAGCAAACAGGAUUAGAUACCCCGGUAGUC
rnacentral:rRNA from 1 species